GAAACUAAAAGUGGUGUUAUUGAGUGGCUAUUAGCAGUCACCAAAAAGAUGGGGCGUCGUUAACCUUACAGUUACAGGGGAAACUAUACUCUGCUUGGUACCAACGUCGCACCAAAAUUGAAGGAUCCUUCUCAUUUUUCACUGUUUCGUUAACCCCUUCCCGAAGGAGUCGGCACUCAGAAGUACCUUUUUCACCGUUCCAAUCAAGUCGCACCUUCUUCUCCACUCAGUAUUUCACUCUCACUCUCUUCGUCUUCUUCUUCGUCUCACCAUUCACCGAUGGCAACAGCACAACAAGAAUCAGGAUCAGGAUCAGAAUCAGCCGUUGCAGUUAACGGCGUUGAAGACUCCUACUUCUCAGCUCUCUUUGAUGAUGAAGGUAACCUCGUCCCCAUCUCCGAUGACAAGUACGCUCAUGAAUUGCAGUUACAAGAGACUAUCAUGUCCUCCUUCAUCGCUUCUCAAAGCACCAUCGAAGGCUCAUCGUCAUCAAAAACCGUUCGUUGCCUUCCAUCUUCAUCAACACCGUCGUCAUCACGACCAGUCUUUGUUGUCCCCAAAACCGAGUACAUAGAGCUUCUGGAUGACGACGAAAUGCUUAUCGUAUGUGAGAUUUGUGCAGAAACCAAAGGGACUGAUCAGAUGUUCAGGAACAAGAAAUGUGAUCACUCCUUUUGCUCUGACUGUGUCACCAAGCAUGUGGCCACAAAGAUCCAAGAGAGCUUAACGAUUGUUCCUUGCCCCGGAUUGAACUGCAAGGGCGUGAUGGAGCUUGAUUCCUGCAGGCCCAUGCUCCCAAAAGAGGUUCUUGAUAGGUGGGACGAUGCACUCUGUGAGGCCCUGUUUCUUGCGGUUCCGAAAUUCUAUUGCCCCUUUAGGGACUGUUCUGCAAUGCUGCUUGACGAGAAUGAGGGCGGUGAAGGGAUUAUCAGGGAAGCUGAGUGCCCCUUUUGCCACAGGCUCUUCUGUGCCAGGUGUUGUGUUCCAUGGCACCCUGGGGUUGAGUGUAACGUGUUGCAGUCACUGAAUGAGGAUGAGAGAGGGAGGGAGGAUCUUCUUCUUAGGGACCUUGCUGCUCAAAAGAAAUGGAAUAGGUGUCCCAGAUGCAAGUUCUAUGUGGAGAAGACUGAAGGGUGCUUGCAUAUUACAUGCAGGUGCCGAUUCGAGUUUUGCUAUGCUUGUGGUGAACCUUGGAGUAGCACUCAUGGUGGAUGCCAAAGGAUUAGAUGAUUUUAAGAUGAAAAUUGAUGUGUUCAUGUGGAUAUAUGUGAAAAGGAUGAUUCUCUCGUGACUACCGUUGUAGUGGCUACAUAUCGUUACGUUUUGAUUACAGUGUUGACUGAGGACUAGCAUUUCUUUUGCGAAAUUGGGGUUAAGCCACUGAAGUGGGACUUGCAGCUUACAUUGCAUGCUCGCAACUUCGUGAAGAAACACAUUUCGGACUGCAAGGAAGGGCUUCAUGAUGCCACUUUUGUUGGUAAUAAAUAUGGCCAAAAUUCUGCAUAUCAUCCAGGAUCUGUGUCAGGUGUAGAAGCUGUGGCUGAGUGGCUAAAACACAAAACAAAUUAUGAUUAUAAAUCUAACUCUUGCAUUGAUGGUACCUUUAAUUGUAUUGUUUACGGUCAUAUUAUAUGGCCUGCAACUACUUAUUUAGGUUGUGCUAGAACCAAAUG